AAGCCGGGCAGGGAGGACGGCAGCAUGUGGGAAAUGCAGUGGCACAGACCCUGAUGGAUGUCAUGGUUUGAUUGGUCAGGUGAAUGAUGCUGCCUCCUGUAGCCCCAUUUCCCCACGGCUGUGCCCCAGGAGCUCAAGGCAUGAAGAGCAGAGGAGGUCUCAGCCUCUUCCUCCUCCAGGAUCCCUACACAGCGAGCAUUUCCAGCAGUUUAUUCAACAGCUACAAGAAAAUAUUCCUGCACUCUCCAGCUCCACGAGGCACAUGACCCGGACAGUGCCAAUGGAAUAAACAUUUGCAUUUAAUUUA